rnacentral:rRNA from 1 species
UACAGAGGUCCCAAGCGUUGUUCGGAUUCACUGGGCGUAAAGGGUGCGCAGGUGGUCGGGUAAGUCUGAUGUGAAAUCCCGCAGCUUAACUGCGGAAUGGCAUUGGAUACUAUUCGGCUAGAGGGUUGGAGGGGGGACUGGAAUUCUCGGUGUAGCAGUGAAAUGCGUAGAUAUCGAGAGGAACACCAGUGGCGAAGGCGGCUAACUGGUCCAGUACUGACGCUGAGGUGCGAAAGCGUGGGGAGCAAACAGG